rnacentral:tRNA from 1 species
UAGAUUGAAGCCCGCUGGUUUGGGUUUUUAGUUGUUAACUAAAGAUUUAUGGGAUCAAGGCCCGUCGAUCUAG